CCGGCCAGGGGGCUUGGUGGCCCCUCCAGGGGGGCUGCGUGGGCGCCCGCACUCCGCCGGAGGAGCGGGCCUCGGGGUGAGGGCGAGUGCGAGUGCGAGCGCCUAGACCCCUGCGGUGGACGCGGGCAUUCGGGAAUGGGUCCCAGAGCCUCGGCGGAGCCCGAGCCAGAGCAUCCUCGCACCUCCGGCGGAGGGCACGCGGCCACUGCGACCUGGCGACCCGCGAGCUGCCACCCCGCCCCCAGCCCGGGCUAGGGUCGGUCCUCCCUGGAGUGGCGCGAAGGGCGUGGAGGGGCUGAGGUGCGGGGGGCGCCCCUCGGCUCCAGGCCGCGCCUGGCUGGCGCGCGUGGAGCAGCCCGCGGGGCCGGAGGGCCGCGGCCGGCGUCGGGGCGAGGAGCCGGGCGAAGACGGGGAGCGGCCCCGGCGUGGGCGGUUGGGAGCCGCGCUCCCGGCGCUUCUUGGACUGGAGGAGGAGGAGGAGGGCAUCACCCUCCCGGGCGAGAUGGGCGCGUACGGACAGCGGAGUGAGGGUGCAGACAGCAUGGCUGAAGGAAGCCCGUGGUGACCCGUGUGUGAAAGGGAGGUGACACGUUGCAGCAGACAUGGAUCCUUGCUGACCCGCCUCCGGCAGAGGGGCCCUGGAGGAAAGAACUAGAACGAAAGGUUUGGGCUUGAAGCGAAGAAGAAAUUACCAACUGCAGAGCUGGAGAGACCACUCUGGGAAGAGGAGCACACUGAUGCUGGAAGAGGAGGCAACCCCCGGCCCAUGGGAUCUCAGCAUUCAAAGCAGCACAGGAAACCUGGGGUCCUGAAAUGGGGCUCCCGAAGAAAUCGGAGAACAACCAGGAGGAAGUACUGGAAGGAAGGAAGGGAGAUCGCUCGGUGAGCUGGUAGGGGAGGAGGGAGUGUUGAAACUGGGAAAGGGCCACGCACAGGAGACUGUGCAGGGAGGUGGGGUGCAUCAUGGGUGGCUCAUUGGCCAUGAAUCUCCUAAGCUGUAGGGGUUGUGUGUGUAAGAUGGUGUUCAAGGGAGGAUAUGGCCAUUAGACAAAGCCUGCACUUUCUGCAGCUCUUAUGGCCUUGGGUUGCUCCUCUUGGAUUCUCCUAUCAUCUGUUUUCCCUGACUCACAGCCAGGAGUUCCAAGAGAGGAGGCCUCCCUCUACAGGUGGUCAAGUCAGGGCCCAGGGCCACUGAGGGAAUCACCGUGUUAGAGCCUUGAGCCCUUCUGCCUAAUCCCUGUCUAAAUAACCCAGCUCUGGAUACUGCUGGCCCCAGGCUGGCAUCCCCAGACCUGUUGUCUGAUGCAGGAGCUGGGUCUUGCCCAAGUCUCUUGAUCAGGACCUCAUUUAUAGUUUGUAGAUGUUGGGGUCCCUAGGAUGCAUAUCUUGGCCCAAAGAAAUUGUCAGAAAUAGCUGUCUUGUAAAGGAGGGGGCUUGGCCCUGCGUGUAGAUGAGGCAAGGUGGUGGCAUCCCCUCCCAGCUGCAGAGGACACCAAGCACUGGGAAGUCCACCUGCUCCUCAGUGGGACCAGGCCAGCAGAAUAAGGUACCAGGUUGCCCCAUCGUGGAUGUUGGUCCUGGGACGCAGACUGGGUCUGUGGCAAUGGCUCCCUGAGAGGAAACCUGUGUGGAGGUCCACGGGCCUCCUGUGCCUCUCCUUUUUCUACUCAGCCUCAAACCAGGUUAACUUUUUAUCCAAAAGAAAACCUCCUGAAGUGGAUGACAUACAGAGUGGGGUGUGUCAUCCAAACCUACUUGAGAGGCUCUUGUGGAGGGGGGAGCCUCUCUGCUGGGGUGCCUGUGAUGAGACUUGAAGACUUCAGCUCAUUUGUCUCCUGCAGCUGGUGCAUUUGAGUGAUGUGAGCUGUUGAGUCUCCUUCCUGCACCCACUGUCCAUGGACUGUCAAAGCCUCAGGAGUCUCUGAGUUCUCACAUCCAACCCCUUGUUUAACAGGAAAAGCCGAGGCCUCAGGGUAAGGUCACACCGCAAGUUCAUGGUAGAGUCGGCACUAAAACCCAGGCCCCCUGCUCAGGGCUCUCUGCCCUGCAGGAAGGGGGUGCAGCCUUUGUGUGUAGAAGUCAAGGGGCUUACUGAGAGUCAGUGGUCCUUUGGCUAUGACUUCACCUUAUCUGAAUGGAGGCCCUGAGCAGAGUGUGCACCAUGUAUGUACAGCUGACGGCUGGCUGGCAGGGACUCCUGACUAUCCUGGGCUUCUGCACUGGUUCAUUUUGGGAAUUUGUAUCUCAUUUAAGGCUCCCAACACAACUCUGGCUCUUCCAUGUUGAAAGACUCUGAAGCUUCCCUUCAUGUCAGCAAAACUGUACAAUUCAUGAUGCUACCAGCAAGUGUGACAUUUCAGCCAUGGUGACCAGUCCUGUAUAGGCACACAAGGCUGAGAACAGAUGGACAAUGGGAGGUGAUGAACCAGGCAGCCCGAGAGUCAAGAGCUGAGUCGGAGGGACAUAACUUGGCAGGUUGGAAGUAGUCAUGUUAGUGGCAGGGUUAGAUGAUCCUGCCACUUAGGGAUACAGGAAGGCAAGAGAAUCUUGGCACUUGUCCUGCUCAGAGUUUUCCUCUUAGGUUUUACCAGCAUCCUGGGAGCUUCUGUGCCCUUGAGGGUAGUGUCUUUUACUCUAAUCUUUGAGUUGCUUCUUACCUUCAGUGUGUUGAACAUCACCUCUGUUUCAUCCAGCCAUUACUAGCAUCUAUUCUAGCUCUGACAUCUUUUCUUUUUUCCAAAGAUUGAUUUAUUUAUUUGAAAUCAGAGUUACAGAGAGGCAGAGAGAGAGAGAGGUCUUCCAUCCACUGGUUCACUCCUCAAAUGACUGCAACAGUUAAAACUGGGCCGAUCCAAAGCAAGGAGCCAGGAGCUUCUUCCAGGUCUCCCACGUGGCUGCAGGGUCCCAAGCACUUGGGCUAUCUUCUGCUUUCCCAGGCCAUAGCAGAGAGCUGGAUUGGAAGUGGAGCAGCCAGGGCUUGAACUGGUGCCCAUAUGGGAUGCCGGCACCGAAGGCAGCAGCUUCACCUGCUGUACCAUAGCACUGGCCCCCCAGCUCUGAAAUACUCGUCUCUUUGUAUCUCCUAUGUGUCUGUCUCCCUCACCACCACUAUGUCUGCUCACAGCGACCUGCAGGCUCCUGACUCCUGGUUUUUCUCGUCACUGAAUCAUUUCUCAUCCUGUCUUUUAGUUUGUUACUCAGCAUUUACAACCUGGCCCUUUAAAAUGUUUCUUUUUUCUUUUUCUUUUCUUUUUUUUUUCUUUUUACAGAUAGAGUUAGAGACAGAAAGGUCUUCCUUCUGUUGGUUCACCUCCCCAAAUGGCUGCUAUGGCCGGAGCUACGCCAAUCCGAAGCCAGGAGCCAGGUGCUUCUUCCUGGUCUCCUGUGUGGGUGCAGGGCCCAAGCACUUGGGCCAUCCUCCACUGCUUUCCCGGGCCACAGCAGAGAGCUGGACUGGAAGAAGAGCAACCUGUGCCCAUAUGGGAUGCUGGUGCUGCAGGCGGAGGAUUAACCAAGUGAGCCACGGUGCUGACCCCAACCUGGCCCUAUAGGUUCUCACCUACACUGGAAAACAUGGAAACUGCCGGCCUUCUGUAGUCCCAGCUUAAAGGGGAGUGGGGUAGGGUGGGGUGGUUGGGAAUCCUUUCAUGCAUUGACACUAGUCCAGUUUCAUGUUCCACAGCCUCAACUGCACCCUAUAGUGCCCAGCAGUCCUUCUGCCUAGGCCUACUCCUAUUGCCCUACAGCUAUUUCAAAGCUCUUGCAUAACCCUCUACUUCGCUACAUCAUAGCUCUCCAGUUAUUCCCAGCAGUUGCCCUACACUCUGUCUUUGCCAAGAGAAAUGAAAGCUGCUCGGGAGGAAAUUUCUUUCACCUCUGCCGUGGGCUUCCCACGUGCUUACCCAUCUAUGCCUCUGGCCCCCAUCGUGUUCAGACCAAUCCAGUUCACCCUUCCAUCAGAUCUGAUGGAACCCUUCUCCUCUCCCCCACCUUCCAGGUACCUCACUCUGGUGCUUAGUCCCUCUGUCCUUUGUAUCUUCAUGCUCCAGCUCUCCUGGCUUCUUCCACUGUAACCUAGCUACCCAAAGGAGAUGCCUAGACUUGACAGCCCCCGUCUCUGCUCUCCCCCUCUCCAGCCUAUUGAAGACAGAGUUGCUGUGUAUCAUCUCCUGUUGAGUCAUCAAUCCACCUUAACCUGGCUUCUGCCCCCAUUUCACCACCCGCCUUCUUGUGCCAUUUGUUCUUACUGUAGAUCCAGCUGAAAGCUCUUGGUUCCCACUCUCCCUCUCCAGCAUUCAGCAUGACCUGAGUAGGCUCUGCCUGUUGGAACACUUUGGCCUCACAUCCCAUGGACCCACAGCCUCCUUGUUUGCCUUCCCUCUCUCUGAUGGCUUCUGCAUCAUCUUUGUGAGGAUUUCUUCUGUCCUCUUUUCUCUCUUCCUUCAUUUUCUGGUAUCUUUGGUUACCAUGGCUUCCAGUUCCAAUGACGAUGUGGACUGGGGCUUCUCCCCGUACCUGUCUCCUUAGUUUCUUUAUUUUUUCAGUUCUGUCAACUCUUGCUUUGUUUGUAUGCUGUCUUGUUCUUAGAGUCAUGCAUAUUCAGGAUUGCUGUGUCCCCUCAAGGAGUUGACUCCUUCCGUAGGAAAUGUUCUUAAGCCCUUGCUGACUUUCUUGGUUUGAAGUUUGGCUGAUAUCACUAUGGUAUCUCUAGCUUUCUGUUGAUUAGUGUUGACAUGAUGUGUCUUUUUCUAAUCUUAUACUUUUAACCUCAAUCUUAAACCCAUUGAAGUAGUUUUUUUUUUUUUUUAAAAAAAGAUUUAUUUAUUUAUUUGAAAGGCAGAGUUACAAAGAGAGUAAGAGUGCAAGUGCUACCCAAAUGGCUGCAAUGGCUGGAGCUGGGGCAGUCUGAAACCAGGAGCCAGGAGCUUCAUCUGGGGCUCCCAGUGGGUACAGGGGCCCAGGGAUUUGGGCCAUCUUCUGCUGCUGUCCCAGGCACAUUAGCAGGGAGCUGGAUUAAAAGUAGGGCAGCCAGAACUCAAACUGGCACCCAUAUGGGAUGCCAGCACCACAGGUGGUGGCUUAACCCACUAUGCCACCACACCAGUAUGAAGUUGUUUUUUUUUUUUUUUAAAUAAACAUAUGUAUUGACUUGAAAGAUCUCCCAUCUGCUGGUUCAUGAGGUGGUUUUCUUUUAGGCAACAUUUAAUUGUGUCAUUUUCAUCUGAUCUGACAAACUUAGCUGCUUUUAACGUACACUCAUCUUUUAUUUUUGCUUAAACAAUUAUCAUUUUAAAAUAUUUGUUUGAAAAGCAGAGAGACAGAGGUCCUCUAUCCACAAGUUCACUCCCCAGAUGGCUGCAGUGGCCAGGGGCAGAGCAGGAGCCUGGAAAUUGAUCCUAAUCUUCAACACCUGUGGCAGAGGCCCAAGUACUUAAGCCAUUUUCUGCUUUCUUGGGCACAUUGGCAGGGAGCUGGAUCAGAAGUAGAGCAGCCAGAACUGGAACUGUCACUCCUAUGUGGAAAUCCAGUGUCACAAGCUGCAACCUAACUCACUACACCACAAUGCUGGCCCCAGACUAAGACCCCCUUAGAGUUGACGCUGUUAUCUGUACGGUUAGGUUUAAAUCUGUGUAAUUGCUGUUAGCAUUUUUUUUAUUUAUUUUUUGACAGAUAGAGUUACACAGUGAGAGAGAGACAGAGAAAGGUCUUCCUUCCGUUGGUUCACCCCCCCCAAAUGGCCGCCAUGGCCGGAGCUACGCUGAUCCGAAGUCAGGAGCCAGGUGCUUCCUCCUGGUCUCCCAUGUGGAUGCGGGGCCCAAGCACUUGGGCCUUCCUCCACUGCCUUCCCAGCAGAGAGUUGGACUGGAAGAGGAGCAACCAAGACUAGAACCUGGCGCCCAUAUGGGAUGCUGGCGCCGCAGGUGGAGGAUUAACCAAGUGAGCCAUGGUGCCGGCCCAAAGCUGUUAGCAUUUUAUUUGCUACAUCUGUUUGUCAUUCCUUCUCUCCCCUCUUGAUUUCUUUGGGUCUGGGUAUUUUGUAAUGAUUAUAUUUUGUUUUUGUUUUUGUUUAGGUUUCGGUUUGUUUUUAGUGGUUCUUCUACAAUUCACAGCAAUAUCAUCAGCUCCCCACAAUCUUCCUUCAGAUACUAUCAUAAGAAUCUCACAACAGUGUAAUUCUAUUCUCUAUGAAUUUUACUUCUAUUUAUAGUAUAAAUUCAAUAAUACAUUACUGUUUUUCUAUUAAACAGUUAUGCUUUUUUCUUAAAGAUUUUUUAUUUUAUUUGAAAGGCAUUUGUAAGAGAAAGUGAGAAGGGGAGGAGAGAAAGAUCAUUCGUUUGCUGGUUCACUCCCCAAAUGGCCGCAAUGACCAGGGCUGGGCCAGGCCAAAGCCAGUGGCUUCUUCUGGGUCUCCUACAUGGGUUCAGGGUCCUAAGGCCUUGAGUCAUCCUCUGCUGCUUUCCUAGGCCAUUAGCAGGGAGCUGAAGCAGAAGUGAAGCAGUGGGAACUCAGUCCAACAUCCAUAUAGAAUGCUGGCACUGCAGACUGCUUAACCUGCUACGCCACAGUGCCAGCCCCAAGGUUAUACUGCUUGAAAGAAAUAACAGUUUUGUUGGGAUAUAUAAUUCAUAUACCAUAGAGGUUACUUAUUUAAAGUGUAUAAUAGUGGGCUGGCGCUGUGGUGUAAUGGGCAAAGCUGCCACCUGCAGUGCCAGCAUCCCAUAUGGGUGCCAGUUUGAGAACUGGCUGCUCCACUUCCGAUCCAGUUCUCUACUACCGCCUGGGAAAGCAGUUGAGGAUGGCCCAAAUUGUUGGGCCCCUGCACCGGCAUGGGACACCUGGAGGAAGCUCCUGGCUCCUGGCUUCAGAUCAGCGCAGCUCCGACCAUUGCUGCCUCUGGGGAGUGAACCAGCAGUUGGAAAACUUCUCCCUCUGCCGCUGCCUCUCUGUAACUCUGACUUACAAAUAAGUAAGUAAAUCUUUAACAUGUAUAAUAGUUUUAAGUUCUAUGAACUCCAGUCAUUUUCAAACAUUUUCAUUACCUUCUGCCCCCGCCCAAAACCUAUGCCCAUUGAUAGUCUCCCCGCACCGAACCCUCAACUCUGGAGAACCACUAAUAUACGUUAGCCUAUUCUGGGUGUUUCAUAUAAACAGAAUCACAUCAUGUGGUCUUUGGUGACUGGUUUCUUUCCUUAGCAGGUCUUGAAGGUUCCAAGCCAGCCUUGUGGAGUAGUGGGUUAAGCCUCUGCCUGCCAUGCCAGCAUCCCGCAUCAGAGUGCUGGUUGAGUCCCAGCUGUACCACUUCCAAUCCAGCUUCCUGCCAGUGCACCUAGGAAAGCAGCAGAAGAUGGCCCAUGGACCUGGGCUCCUAUGAUCUAUGUAGGAGGCCAGGAUGGAGUUCCUGGCUCCUGGGUUUAUCCUGACACAACCCUGGAUGUUGUAGGCUUUUGAGGAAAUGAACCAGCAAUUGGAAGAUCUCUCUCUUUUUCUCUUUCUCUUUCUCUCCGCCCCCCCCAUCACUCUGCCUUUCAAGUGAACAAAUCUUUUAAAAAGGUUUUCAAGGUUUGUCUGUUUCUGAAUAUUCCCCAAUAAUAUGAAUAUACCACAUUUUGUUUAUCCAUUCAUCAGUUGUUGAACUUUUGGGUGUUUUUUUUUUUUUAAUGAUUUAUUUUUUGAAAACUAUUUGUGAGGCAGAGUUACAGAAGCGAGAGAGAGAGGUUUUCCAUCUGCUGGUUCACUCCCCAAAUGGCUGCAAAGGCCAGAGCUGAUCUGAAACCAGGAGCUUCUUCCUGGUCUCCCACAUGGAUUCAGGGGCCCAAGUACUUGGGCUGUCUUCCACUGCUCUCCCAGGCCAUAAGCAGAGAGCUGGAUCAGAAGAGGAGCAGCUGGGACGUAGCCUCCCACAAAGGAUGCAGGCACCACAGGCGGAGGUUGAACCUAGUACCCCACAGUGCUGGCCCCGCCUUAAUUUUUGAUAUUGCUUGUGUCUCUAUAUUGAGAUUUUUGCAUCUGAUGGACCAGUUUGUGUUGCUUUAAAAAAAAAAAAAGAUUUAUUUAUUUGAAAGAGUUGCACAGGGAGAGAAAGGCGGGGGUGGGGAGGUCUUCCAUCUGAUGGUUCACGCCCCAAUUGGCUGCAACGGCCAGAGCUGUACUGCUCCAAAGCCAGGAGCCAGGAGCUUCUUUGGGUCUCCCACAUGGGUGCAGGGGCCCAAGGACUUGAACCAUCUUCUACUGCUUUCCCAGGCCACAGCAGAGAGCUGGAUCGGACUUGGAGCAGCCGGGUCUCUAACCGGCACCCAUAUGGGAUGCUGGUGCAUCAGGCCAGGGCGUUAACCUGCUGUGCCGCAGCACCAGCCCCUGUAUUGCUUUUGAAGGGUGCUCUUCAUUAGUCAAAGGCUUUUUCCUGAAGCUGUGUCUUCAGAUAUUGGUCAACUAUUUUGACUUUAGGUCCACUUGGACACUGAAGUAUAGUCUUGGUUUAUCGCUUCCCACUUGAGUCAGCAGCAACGGGACACAGGUAAUAGGGGCUCCAUGUGGUCCCAGCAAGGUUUUGUGAGCCUUGGUGAUGGUGGUUGGGCUCCAGCCACCUGGCAGUUUUCGGUCAGGUCAGGUGGGCAUGUGUGUCUUUCCUUGCCCACCACAAUGGUGGUGGGGGUGGCAAUGGAGCCUCUUUGGGAUGGACUCCCAGGUGUGUGCAUUCUGCCCACAUCAAUAAAAACAGGCUGCAUGGGAUGGGGCAGGGCUGCACAGAAGGGAGAGAGGGGAUGUGGGGGAUAGAUCACAAGUCUGCAGAGACAAGCAGCCUGCUUCCAAGGGAGCUGAAACCUGCCUGGCUGUGUUGAAGCACUGGUCCCUUGUAGUACAGGACACUGCUUGUGCUGAGGUGCCGGGGUCGCUGUUGCUGCUGGGCCUGGAUUGGGUUUGUGCGGAUGCAGUCCUCUUUGCUAGAGUGGUGGGGAUAUCUGUGGGGGUGGGGCUCUAGAGGUGGAGAUACGCACAGUGAGUCUGAGUCUUUUCCUAAGACGGCAUUAGACUGCUACAGCCCGUGCUCUGGGGGUUCCAGGGCAGUGUGAGUUCCUUCUCAGAAGCAAAGCCACCUUGUGUGUUCUAGACAGCUCCCCUAGCUGGGCUCCCGGCAUGUGAUGCUGUAGAUCCCUCCUGUAGCUGAGACGGCUGAGGUCCCGCAUGCCUGCAGGCUGGGGCUUUCCUGUUGACCCUUUCCCCUUCGGUGGGGCUGAGGUCACAGUUGCCAGCACACGCUUGUGCCUGUAUUUCUGCUGCCGCUCAGAUCUGUGAUGGGACGCCCACGGUGCCCUGUGGCCUUCCAGUGUCCAACCUCAGACCCUCACCUCAGAAUGCAGUUAUCAUUUGCUUUUUUUUUUUUUUUUUUUUUUGACAGGCAGAGUGGACAGUGAGAGAGACAGAAAGGCCUUCCUUUGCCGUUGGUUCACCCUCCAAUGGCUGGCGCGCUGUGGCCGGCACACCGCGCUGAUCCGAUGGCAGGAGCCAGGUACUUCUCCUGGUCUCCCAUGGGGUGCAGGGCCCAAGCACUUGGGCCAUCCUCCACUGCACUCCCUGGCCACAGCAGAGAGCUGGCCUGGAAGAGGAGCAACCGGGACAGAAUCCGGUGCCCUGACCAGGACUAGAACCCAGUGUGCCGGCGCCGCAAGGCGGAGGAUUAGCCUAGUGAGCCGCGGUGCCGGCCAUGAUUUGCUAUUUUCUUUCCUCUCUGUGGAGGAGGCCAGUGCUGUUCAGCCAUCUUGGGGACUCCCUCUGAGUCCUUUGCAACACAAGAGUUUUAAAUUUUAUGAACUUUAAGUUAGCUGGUUUUUCUUCUUUUGUUGCUUAUACUUUUAGCAUCAUAGGAAGGAAAUCAUUUAUGCUUUUCUUCUAAGAGUUUUGUAGUUUUAACUGUUAUGUUUAGGCCUUUGAAUAAUUUUGAGUUAAUUGUAUUGGUAGUGUGUGUGUGUAUAAAGGAUAUUCCAUUGCCCCAGCACUACUUUAAUUUCCCCAUUAAAUAAUGGGGCACCUUGUUGAAAAUUAGUUGACUAUAAGUGUGUGUAUUUCUGGACUCAUUUCUUCUGCACUUUCUAUAACACCACAUUGUCUUAAUCACUGUAGCUUUAUAAUUUUUGUAAGUUUUAAAAUGAAGAAAUGUGAGUUCUCCAACUUUGCUAUUUGUAAAGAUUGCUAUGGCCUUUCUGUCUCUUGAUUUUUCUUUAUAAAUUUUAGGAUCAGCUUGUCAAUUUCUGCAAAGAAGCCAUCUGGUAUUCUAAUAGAGGUUGUCUCGGAUCUGCAGAUCAAUUGGGGAGUAUUGCCAUUUUAACAAUUUAGUCAUCUGUAUUCAGGAUGUCUCUAAGACUUUGAUUUCUUUUAAAGAAGUGUAUACUUGUCAGUAUAGUCUGGUACUUCCUUUACAAAUUUAUUAUUUUUUUACAAUUCUUUUUUUAAAGAUUUAUUUAUUUGAAAGACUGAGUGAGAGGGGACAGAGAUCUUGCAUCUGCUGGUUCAUUCCUCCAAAUGGCCACAACAGUCAUAUCUGGGCCAGGCCAACAUCGGGAGGAAGGAACUCCAGCUGGUCUCCCACAUGGGUAGCGAGGGCUCAAGUACUUGAGUCAUCUUCCACUGCCUUUCCAGGCACAUUAGCAGGAAGCUGGAUCAGAAGUGGAGUAGCCAGGAUUCAAACUCAAACUGCAGUAUGGGAUGCCAGCCUUGCAAUUGGCAGGUUGACAAUGCUCUACAGGGUUAGCCCCAGAACUUUAUUCUUCUUUUGAUGCUUUUGUAAACUGAAUUGUUCUCUUAACUUCAUUAUUAGCUUGUUCAUUGCCAGUGUCUAGAAACAUAGCUGAUUUUGUAUAGUGAUUUUGAAUCCUACAAACUUGCCAAGCUCAUUUAUCAGUUCUAAUAGUUUUGUGUGUGUGUGCGUGGAUUCCUUAGAUUUUCCCCAUACAAUAUCAUGUCAUCAAUGAAUAGAGAUAAUCUAUUUUUGUUCCCAAUCUGUAUACCUUUUAUUUCAUUUUCUUGCCUAAUUUUCUUGGCUGGAGCCUCCAGUACAAUGUUGAAUAGAUUUGUCUUGCUCUGAGAUGGAAAUGCAUUCUUUCACCUUUCGUUAUGAUUUUUUUUUCAUAGAUUCUCCAUAUCAGUUUGAGGAAAUGCUCUUUUAUUCCUACUUCAUUGAGUGUUCUUAUAGUGAAAAGGUGUUGAAUUUUGUUAAAUUCUUUUUCUACAUUUAUUGAUUAUGUGGUUUUUGUGCUUUUGGAUGAUAAGCUAUCUCUAUAUUCCUGUGUAAGUCCCACUUGGACAAAGUGUACAAUCUUAAUAUUGCUGGGUUCAAUCUACUAGAUUUUUUAAAGGAUUUAUUUAUUUAUUUGAAAGAAUUAGGGAGAGACAGAUCUUCUAUCUACUCGUUCACUCCCCAAAUGGCCACAACAGCCAGGGCUGGGAUAGGCAGCAGCCAGGAGCCUCAUCUGGGUCUCCCACAUGGGUGCAGGUGGCCCAAAUACUUGGGCCACCUCCACUUCUUUCCCAGGAGCUGGAUCAGAAGUAAAGCAGCUGGAACUUGAACCUGCACAGAUAUAGGAUGCCAGCAUCUCAAGUGGUGGCUUAACCUGCUGUGCUAAAACACCAGCCCUUAGGUUUUGUUUCUGUUUAAUAUUUUAUUUAUUUAUUUGAGGGGUAGAGUUACAGAGAGAGAGAGAAAGGUCUUCCAUCUGCUGGUUCACUCCCCAAACGGCCACGAUGACCAGAGCUGGGCUGAUCUGAAACCAGAAGCUUCUUCCAGGUCUCCUACACAGGUGCAGGAGCCUGAGUAUUUAGGUCAUCAUCUACUGCUUUCCCAGGCAAUAGCAGAAAGCUGGAUUGAAAAAGGAACUGCUGGGACUCGAACCAGCAUGUAUAUGGGAUGCUGAAGCUGCAGGCAGAAGCUUAGCCUACUAUGCCAUAGUGCCAGCCCCCUUAGUUUUUUUUUUUUAUGAAGAAAAAUUAGUGUGCACUUACAUACAUAUUUACCAUUUCUUCAU